AACGAACGUUGGCGGCGUGGAUUAGGCAUGCAAGUCGAACGAAUCCCAUCUUUGUAGCAAUACCGAGGUGGGGGAAGUGGCGAAAGGGGCAGUAAUGCAUGGGUAACCUACCUCCGGGACCGGGAUAGCCUUCCUAACGGGUGGGGAAUACCGGGCGAUGUGGUCGAGGGGCAUCUCUUGGCCAUGAGAUGAAUUUCGCCUGGGGAGGGGCUCAUGUCGUAUUAGCUGGUUGGUGAGGUAACGGCUCACCAAGGCGAAGAUGCGUAGCGGGUGUGAGAGCACGACCCGCGCCACUGGCACUGAGACACUGGCCAGACUCCUACGGGAGGCUGCAGUCGAGGAUCUUCGGCAAUGGGCGAAAGCCUGACCGAGCGACGCCGCGUGAGCGAUGAAGGCCUUCGGGUUGUAAAGCUCUUUAGUGGGGGAGAAAAGGGCAACCUUGAUCUAUCCCAAGAAUAAGCACGGGCUAAGUUCGUGCCAGCCGCCGCGGUAAGAC
rnacentral:rRNA from 1 species